rnacentral:rRNA from 1 species
UGAAUACGAGAUGCUACGGCGUCGAAGCAGUGUAUGUCAGACUUCCAAGAAAAGCUCGCAAUGUCAUAAAUAAAGAAUGCCUGUACCAUAACCGACACAGGUGGGUAGGUAGAGUAUACUAAGGGGCGCGAGAUAACUCUCUCUAAGGAACUCGGCAAAAUAACUCCGUAACUUCGGGAGAAGGAGUGCCUUCUUUAAGAAGGUUGCAAUAACAAGAUCCAAGCAACUGUUUAUCAAAAACACAGGUCUCCGCUAAGUCGUAAGACGAUGUAUGGGGGCUGACGCCUGCCCAGUGCCAGAAGGUUAAAAAAGUUGGUUAGCUUUUGCGAAGCUGAUGACUGAAGCCCUGGUGAACGGCGGCCGUAACAAUAACGGUCCUAAGGUAGCGAAAUUCCUUGUCGGGUAAGUUCCGACCCGCGCGAAAGGCGUAAUGAUUUGGAUACUGUCUCGGAGAGGGACUCGGUGAAAUAGACUUGUCUGUGAAGAUGCGGACUACCUGCACCAGGACAGAAAGACCCUAUGAAGCUUUACUGUAACUUGAAAUUGGAAUUGGACUUUAUUUGCGCAGUAUAGGUGGAAGGCGUUGAAAGUAAUCUUGCGGGAUUAGUGGAGCCAUCAGUGAGAUACCACUCCUAUAAUGUUAGAUUUCUAACUUUGGAUCAUGAUCUGGUCAAAGAACAGUUUCAGGCGGGCAGUUUGACUGGGGCGGUCGCCUCCCAAAUGGUAACGGAGGCGUACAAAGGUUUCCUCUGAACGGGUAGAAAUCGUAUCUAGAGUGUAAAGGCAUAAGGAAGCUUGACUGUGAGACCUACAAGUCGAGCAGGGACGAAAGUCGGUCUUAGUGAUCUGACGGUGCUGAGUGGAAAGGCCGUCACUCAACGGAUAAAAGUUACUCUAAGGAUAACAGGCUGAUCUCCCCCAAGAGUUCACAUCGACGGGGAGGUUUGGCACCUCGAUGUCGGUUCAUCGCAUCCUGGGGCGGUAGUACGUCCCAAGGGUUGGGCUGUUCGCCCAUGAAAGCGGUACGCGAGCUGGGUUCAGAACGUCGUGAGACAGUUCGGUCCAUAUCCGGUGUAGGCGUUAGAAUAUUGAGAGGAGCCUUCUUUAGUACGAGAGGACCGAGAAGGACAUACCUCUGGUGUACCAGUUAUCGUGCCAGCGGUAAACGCUGGGUAGCUAUGUAUGGAGAGGAUAACCGCUGAAAGCAUCUAAGUGGGAAGCCCACCUCAAGAUGAGUAUUCUCAU